rnacentral:rRNA from 1 species
GAUGAACGCUGGCGGCGUGCUUAACACAUGCAAGUCGAACGGAAAGGCUCCUGCUUGCAGGGGUACUCGAGUGGCGAACGGGUGAGUAACACGUGGGUGAUCUGCCCAGCACUUCGGGAUAAGCCUGGGAAACUGGGUCUAAUACCGGAUAGGACGAUGGUUUGGAUGCCAUUGUGGAAAGUUUUUUCGGUGUGGGAUGAGCUCGCGGCCUAUCAGCUUGUUGGUGGGGUAAUGGCCUACCAAGGCGUCGACGGGUAGCCGGCCUGAGAGGGUGUACGGCCACAUUGGGACUGAGAUACGGCCCAGACUCCUACGGGAGGCAGCAGUGGGGAAUAUUGCACAAUGGGCGCAAGCCUGAUGCAGCGACGCCGCGUGGGGGAUGACGGCCCUCGGGUUGUAAACUCCUUUCGCUAGGGACGAAGCGCAAGUGACGGUACCUGGAGAAGAAGCACCGGCUAACUACGUG